AUUGAACGCUGGCGGCAUGCCUUACACAUGCAAGUCGAACGGCAGCACGGGUGCUUGCACCUGGUGGCGAGUGGCGAACGGGUGAGUAAUACAUCGGAACAUGUCCUGUAGUGGGGGAUAGGUGGGCGAAAGCCGGAUUAAUAGCGCAUACGAUAUACGGAUGAAAGCGGGGGACCUUCGGGCCUCGCGCUAUAGGGGUGGGCGAUGGCUGAUUAGCUAGUUGGUGCGGUAAAGGCCUACCAAGGCGACGAUCAGUAGCUGGUCUGAGAGGACGACCAGCCACACUGGGACUGAGACACGGCCCAUACUCCUACGGGAGGCAGCAGUGGGGAAUUUUGGACAAUGGGCGAAAGCCUGAUCCAGCAAUGCCGCGUGUGUGAAGAAGGCCUUCGGGUUGUAAAGCACUUUUGUCCGGAAAGAAAUCCUUGGCUCUAGUACAGUCGGGGGAUGACGGUACCGGAAGAAUAAGCACCGGCUAACUACGUG
rnacentral:rRNA from 1 species